AUAAAAGGCCGAAUUACAGUGCUACCCUAAGUUAACUCUGUGGGUAGCAUGAUGAAAAAAAUUCCUGAAGCGAAACUUUAACUGACCUCUGCAGAGUAACAAAAUGACUGCCAAUGGGUUCCAAAAAUUGGCUUUUUUUUUUUAUUCGUCGCUAAUCUAGGUCAGUUUUUAUAAGUUUUACAGAUUUAGGUUCCUGGAUGCUCCUCUGUUUGGGAUAAUGGGCAAUGUCUAACUUAUCACAUAUUCUGCUUGUCUACAGGCUCCAUAAGAUGCUGUCUCUCUAUUUCUGAUGUAACCAGAAGGGAGCCGUGUGCUUUGGAUGACAAGGCUCCAUAAGAUGCUGUCACACUAUUUCUGAUGUAACCAGAAGGGAGCCGUGUGCUCUGGCUGACAAGGCUCCAUAGGAUGCUGUCUCACCAUUUCUGAUGUAACCAGAAGGGAGCGUGUGCUCUGGAUGACAAGGCUCCAUAGGAUGCUGUCACACCAUUUCUGAUGUAACCAGAAGUGAGCCGUGUGCUGUGGAUGACAAGGCUCCAUAAGAUGCUGUUGCACCAUUUCUGAUGUAACCAGAAGGGAGCCGUGUACUCUGGAUGACAAGGCUCCAUAGGAUGCUGUCUCACAUUUCUGAUGUAACCAGAAUGGAGCCGUGUGCUCUGGAUGACAAGGCUCCAUAGGAUGCUGUCACACCAUUUCUGAUGUAACCAGAAGGGAGCCGUGUGCUCUGGAUGACAAGGCUCCAUAGGAUGAUGUCACACCAUUUCUGAUGUAACGAGAAGUGAGCUGUGUUCUCUGGAUGACAAGGCUCCAUAGGAUGCUGUCACACCAUUUCUGAUGUGGCCAGAAGUGAGCCGUGUGGUCUGGAUGACAAGGCUCCAUAGGAUGCUGUCACACCAUUUCAGAAGUGAGCCGUGUGCUCUGGAUGACAAGGUAGAGGAGUAGCAGACCUGGGACUGAUGUUGGACCUUCUAAGCUAUCGAGGAUGAUCAUAUUCUGUCCCCCCUCCUUACUCUAAAGUUAUGAGAAUGUCUUCAAUGUUUUAUGUAUAACCUGAUUAUAUGGACUCCUUCUUUGGACAAUAAAGAUUUUGCUUCCCACAGAA